rnacentral:rRNA from 1 species
UACGUAGGGGGCGAGCGUUAUCCGGAAUACUGGGCGUAAAGCGCACGCAGGCGGUUCGCCAAGUUUGGAGUGACAGUUGUCGGCUCAACCGACAAAGGACUUCAAAAACUGGUGAACUUGAGGACGAGAGAGGAACAUGGAACUCCAGGUGUAGUAGUGAAAUGCGUAGAUAUCUGGAAGAACACCAAUGGCGAAGGCAAUGUUCUGGCUCGUUUCUGACGCUCAGGUGCGAAAGCCAGGGGAGCG